rnacentral:rRNA from 1 species
AUUGAACGCUGGCGGCAUGCCUAACACAUGCAAGUCGAGCGGAGCGGCGGACGGGUGAGUAAGUCCUAGGUAUCUGCCUGGUAGCAGGGGAUAACGUCCGGAAACGGAACGUAAUACCACAUCCUAUCAGCUGAGCCUCGGUCGGUAUGGCUAGUUGGUGGGGUAAAGGCCUACCAAGGCGACGAUCCGUAACUGGUCUGAGAGGAUGAUCAGUCACACUGGAACUGAGACACGGUCCAGACUCCUACGGGAGGCAGCAGUGGGGAAUAUUGGACAAUGGGCGAAAGCCUGAUCCAGCCAUGCCGCGUGUGUGAAGAAGGUCUUCGGAUUGUAAAGCACUUUUAGUUGGGAGGCGUUACCAACAGAAUAAGCACCGGCUAACUACGUGCCAGCAGCCGCGGUAAUUC